GUCCCUGUAGUGCAAUGGAUGGCGCGUUGGACUUCUAAUCCAAAGGUCGUGGGUUUGAAUCCCACCUGGGAUG
rnacentral:tRNA from 1 species